CAGCAGCCGCGGGAAUACGAAGGGUGCAAGCGUUAAUCGGAAUUACUGGGCGUAAAGCGUGCGUAGGCGGUUUGUUAAGUCUGCUGUGAAAUCCCCGGGCUCAACCUGGGAAUGGCAGUGGAUACUGGCAAGCUAGAGUGUGUCAGAGGAUGGUGGAAUUCCCGGUGUAGCGGUGAAAUGCGUAGAGAUCGGGAGGAACAUCAGUGGCGAAGGCGGCCAUCUGGGACAACACUGACGCUGAGGCACGAAAGCGUGGGGAGCAAACAGGAUUAGAGACCCCCGUAGUCCCUGUCUCUUAUAC
rnacentral:rRNA from 1 species